rnacentral:rRNA from 1 species
UACGUAGGGUGCGAGCGUUAAUCGGAAUUACUGGGCGUAAAGCGUGCGCAGGCGGUUCGUUGUGUCGGCGGUGAAGGCCCCGGGCUUAACCUGGGAAUGGCCGUUGAAACUGGCGAACUGGAGUGUGGCAGAGGGGGGGUGGAAUUCCGCGUGUAGCAGUGAAAUGCGUAGAGAUGCGGAGGAACACCGAUGGCGAAGGCAGCCCCCUGGGCUAACACUGACGCUCAGGCACGAAAGCGUGGGGAGCAAACAGG